UACGUAGGGUGCGAGCGUUAAUCGGAAUUACUGGGCGUAAAGCGUGCGCAGGCGGUUGUGCAAGACAGAGGUGAAAGCCCCGGGCUCAACCUGGGAAUGGCAUUGGAAACUGGCGGACUAGAGUGUGGCAGAGGGGGGUGGAAUUCCGCGUGUAGCAGUGAAAUGCGUAGAGAUGCGGAGGAACACCGAUGGCGAAGGCAGCCCCCUGGGCUAACACUGACGCUCAGGCACGAAAGCGUGGGGAGCAAACAGG
rnacentral:rRNA from 1 species